CAAACCGAGAAGUAUUGUUUAGAGGAUGCCCCCAGGGAUGCUGGCGUCCUCAUCUCCAUAGCCAGAGAUGCUGAAGGACCUAAAACGCUUGUACCUUAUCGAUCGCGAAACCGUGCCUGGCAACAGAUGAUGUGGAAGGGAAUCACUGCCAGAUGUAGUACAGGAGCGGGAAGCAGCAGUGAGAUGCUCACAUCAGGUGAGCCGAGCUCUCCAGCUUCCAUAAUACAGAGACGACCAGAAAGACACAGCCGUGCUCUGAGCACCAGCUUCAGACGCGGUACACACUGACAACAGACCUCCCUCUGCACUGCCUGGCCUGCUCUAGCUCGGUGUCAGCCCAGGGUGAAGGACAGCUUGCUGGUCAAGGAAGGGGAGCAAGCUGGUGUGGCUUGGGCUCCUGGCACUGUCCCAACGGUCUGUGAGUCCCCCAGGGCAGCAUCGGCCCCGCAGCCGGUGAGACUCCAAGCCUGGAGACAAGGAAACAUCAAGGUGGCUCCAAUGAGGUUGACGCAGUGCCCUGUGUACGGUGCCCUGGCAGGAUUCACACCCCUUUCCAAGGAUGGGUGAAGCUGCUGUUAGGAAGUGAAAGCUGGCUGGCUGGGAGCAAGCCAGGCAGGCGAGAGAGAUGAAAAUAAGGAAAUCCAACUGUGUGCUGAAAAUUGAUGCAAUAAAAUUCUGUCAAUCAAUUUGA